rnacentral:rRNA from 1 species
GAUUAACGCUGGCGGCGUGCAUAACACAUGCAAGUCGAACGAUGAAACUUAGUAGACUUCUUCGGAAAGACACUAAGCGGAUUAGUGGCGAACAGGUGAGUAACGCGUGAGUAACCUGCCUUACACAAGGGGAUAGCCUUUGGAAACGAAGAAUAAUACCCUAUAAAACCAUAAAAGCACAUGCUAGAAUGGUCAAAGUGAUAGCGGUGUAAGAUGGACUUGCGUCUGAUUAGCUAGUUGGUGAGAUAAAAGCUCACCAAGGCAACGAUCAGUAGCCGGCUUGAGAGAGUGUACGGCCACAUUGGGACUGAGACACGGCCCAGACUCCUACGGGAGGCAGCAGUGGGGAAUUUUGCACAAUGGGGGAAACCCUGAUGCAGCGACGCCGCGUGAUUUAGAAGGCCUUCGGGUUGUAAAAAUCUUUUGUAUAGGAAGAAAAUGACAGUACUAUACGAAUAAGGUCCGGCUAAUUACGUG